AUGAGAAGUAAACUAAAUCCCCUGAGUAAGACUCCAGGUAGCUUUUUCAAGAGGGCUAACUCAGGCAGGCUAAACAUUCGCUAUAUUAAGACCAUGCAUGUGUCCCCAGACCUAGUUCUUGCCCUAGGUCUGGUUUUCUAAAUGCUGAUGAUAAGC